GAUGAACGCUAGCGGCAGGCUUAACACAUGCAAGUCGAGGGGUAUAGUUCUUCGGAGCUAGAGACCGGCGCACGGGUGCGUAACGCGUAUGCAAUCUACCCUUUGCAGAGGGCUAGCCCAGAGAAAUUUGGAUUAAUACCUCAUGGUAUGUGAGAAUGGCAUCAUUUUCACAUUAAAGUCACAACGGCAGAAGAUGAGCAUGCGUCCCAUUAGCUAGUUGGUAAGGUAACGGCUUACCAAGGCAACGAUGGGUAGGGGUCCUGAGAGGGAGAUCCCCCACACUGGUACUGAGACACGGACCAGACUCCUACGGGAGGCAGCAGUGAGGAAUAUUGGACAAUGGGCGCAAGCCUGAUCCAGCCAUGCCGCGUGCAGGAUGACGGUCCUAUGGAUUGUAAACUGCUUUUGUACAGGAAGAAACACUGGUUCGUGAACCAGCUUGACGGUACUGUAAGAAUAAGGAUCGGCUAACUCCGUGCCAGCCGCCGCGGUAAAAC
rnacentral:rRNA from 1 species